rnacentral:lncRNA from 10 species
ACCUUUUCAUCCAGUGAGGACACAGGGAGAAGAUGGUCAUUAGCGACCAGGAAGAGGGUCCCCCCACCAGAACCCCAUGCUGGCACCUGAUCUCGACUUCCGGCCUCCAGAAAUCUUUGAGAAGCAGAUAGGCUUGAAUGAGCAUGGAAUGUAUCUAUUUAAAAAGCAGCUGGAAGUCUGUCAAGUGCAUUCUGGAAAUGGAUUCAGGCUAACAGAGUGUUCUGAAUAGAGACGCCUAAAACAAGAGCCAAAGACAUAGCAAUGGAGAACGUGGGUGGUACAGCCCUCCACCCUGGCGAGCAGCACAUUAGAAUCACGUAGGAGCUUAAAAAGUACUGACUGGCCUGGUCUUUUUCGGUGUGAAGGUGGGAUGCAGGCUUCCUGGGGUUAUCCUCUCGUACAGCCAGAGUUGAGAACCAUCUGAGUAGCGCUUGUCACACUUCUGGCCACAUCAGAAUCGUCUGAGGGACUUGUUCACUGCAGGUUGCUGGGUCCCAUCUCUAGCCUCUGAUCCAGUAGCCUGGGGUGGGGCACAGGAUGUCCUGCUGCUGGGGUCUGGGCAGCGCUAUGAGAACUGCUGACGUUGGAGCUCGAUCAGGCAAUUGGACCACCCAAAUGGCAAACUAAAAGCAUAGAAGCGGACACCAGAGGCUCCUGGACCUGAGAUGUGGCCCUGGAAGUGACCAGAUGUGGUCUCAAGAGAUGGGGGCCCAGGGCUAGGAAUGCCGCCAUCCGGGGAGGCCCUAGAGCAGAGCAGAGCAGCUGUGGGCUGGUGCCAAGCUCACUCCUGCUUCUCUCUGCACGUCUCCCUCAUUCUUUUCUCUCUGAACUGUGACCCUUUUGGCCCCUCUGAGUACCAGGUGGGACAAGGUGACCCCUCAGCACUUGAGUUUACACCUUAGAUGUGUAGGUCCUCACAGAGGCCAACUUAUCUCCUUCUGGGACCAAAUUCCAAAUUCCUAAAGAAAAAACAAACCAAAAACGGAUAUGAUAAAC